UGAGGGAAUAUUUGGGUCAAUGGGCGCAGGCCUGAACCAGCCAAGUCGCGUGAGGGAGGACGGUCCUACGGAUUGUAAACCUCUUUUGUCGGGGAGUAACGUGCGGGACGCGUCCCGUAUUGAGAGUACCCGAAGAAAAAGCAUCGGCUAACUCCGUGCCAGCAGCCGCGGUAAUACGGAGGAUGCGAGCGUUAUCCGGAUUUAUUGGGUUUAAAGGGUGCGCAGGCGGCGCGCCAAGUCAGCGGUCAAAGUUCCGGGCUCAACCCGGUGUCGCCGUUGAAACUGGCGUGCUCGAGUGCGUGCGAGGAAGGCGGAAUGCGUUGUGUAGCGGUGAAAUGC
rnacentral:rRNA from 1 species